UCCGGGGGAUUCCUCGGCGCGGUUUUCUCCAAGUUUACGGCCGUGCGGUUCGAUUGGACGCCCGUGAGUUCCCCGACAAGGGUCGGCGACAAAACGGACUCGACGUUUCGAGUAAUCGUCUUCAAAAGCUCCGGGUUUGCGCCUACGGAAAAUUAACGAUCGAUUAAAGUUCUCGCGUUCAUCCCCCAAAUUAUCGCGGGGAUUGAGGGUAGGAUUCGUUCGUUCGAUUUACCGGGAGAUUCUUGUGCCGUGGACGGUGGGAGCACGUUCGUCCAUACCGUGCAGCAUAACAGGAUCUGAAAGAGGAGAGAGAGAGAUCAGUGUGAAGCCCGUGAUAUUUAUGAUCGAUGUACUAACACUAAUUGCAGGUACCACUCGACGUAUUCCACGUACAUAAAUAGCAUUCACAACGGAUGCCACGGUUAUGGAUCUAAAAACGUUGACAUUUCGUCGGAUCAGCGAUCGAGAAAUAGACAACGUACGUCACAAUACGUCAUCUGCGAUCAACUUUUCUAUACAAACCCCAUUAAUCGAUCUUAGCCGCUUCGGAAGCAAAUCCAAGGUUUCACUGAAUUUUGUUAUUUCAACCGCAGCUGGGAUGUACUCACCUGUCGCAGGUUCCUCUACGAGGAGUAGGUAUUGCGAACAUUCGCGCAAUUCUGUGUACAUGUGACUCGACGCAGGAGAUACGGAGUGGUUGGUGGGCCGACAGGAACUACGAAUUAAAAGUUACGGCACCCGUUGGGGCGUAAAAACUACAUUCGAACUCUUCGCUCCUCGGUUCAUCGUUCAACGCUGGCGUCCUUGUACGACGUGAUCGCGUCGGGUCAAACGGACAACUGUACAUCGCUAGUAGCCGACUUGGUGGAUCAUUCCUACGACGCCAGGCGCCACGACGCCGGGGUGGUUGAAGAUCUGGACGGGGGCGACAGCCCCUGCGCGAG